AUUGAACGCUGGCGGCAGGCCUAACACAUGCAAGUCGAGCGGAGCGGCGGACGGGUGAGUAAUACCUAGUAAUCUGCCUGAUAGUGGGGGAUAACGUUCGGAAACGGACGCUAAUACCGCAUACUAUCAGAUGAGCCUAGGUCGGCUUAGCUAGUUGGUGAGGUAAUGGCUCACCAAGGCAACGAUCCGUAACUGGUCUGAGAGGAUGAUCAGUCACACUGGAACUGAGACACGGUCCAGACGCGUAGUGGAGGCAGCAGGGGGGAAUAUUGCACAAUGGGCGGAAGCCUGAUGAAGCGACGCCGGGUGGGGAAUGAAGGUCUUCGGGUUGGAAACGCCUUUCGACAGGGACGCGGUACCUGUAGAAGAAGCACCGGCUAACUACGUGCCAGCAGCCGCGGUAAUAC
rnacentral:rRNA from 1 species